rnacentral:tRNA from 1 species
AGAGGUUUAGGAUAAAACUAGACCAAGAGCCUUCAAAGCCCUAAGCAAGAGUGAAAAUCUCUUAACCUCUG